AUUGAACGCUGGCGGCAUGCUUUACACAUGCCAGUCGAACGGCAGCACGAAAGAGCUUGCUCUUUUGGUGGCGAGUGGCGAACGGGUGAGUAAUGCAUCGGAACGUACCGAGUAUGGGGGAUAACUGUCCGAAAGGAUAGCUAAUACCGCAUACGCUUUGAGAAGGAAAGUGGGGGCUCUUCGGACCUCACGUUAUUCGAGCGGCCGAUGUCUGAUUAGCUAGUUGGUGGGGUAAAGGCCUACCAAGGCGACGAUCAGUAGCGGGUCUGAGAGGAUGAUCCGCCACACUGGGACUGAGACACGGCCCAGACUCCUACGGGAGGCAGCAGUGGGGAAUUUUGGACAAUGGGCGCAAGCCUGAUCCAGCCAUGCCGCGUGUCUGAAGAAGGCCUUCGGGUUGUAAAGGACUUUUGUUAGGGAAGAAAAGGAUAGUGUUAAUACCAUUAUCUGCUGACGGUACCUAAAGAAUAAGCACCGGCUAACUACGUG
rnacentral:rRNA from 1 species